rnacentral:sRNA from 1 species
UGCAAUAGAGAUUCGUAAAGGAUGAGAACCGUAAAGGUUCGAGUCUCGCGAAGCGAGACAACAUCACUCCGGUGAUGGCCCACAAGGCCGAGUUAUCCUGCACGAUCCACCA